UACAGAGGGUGCAAGCGUUGUUCGGAAUUAUUGGGCGUAAAGCGCGUGUAGGCGGCUUUGCAAGUCGGGUGUGAAAUCCCUCAGCUCAACUGAGGAAGUGCGCCCGAAACUGCAGAGCUUGAGUACCGGAGAGGAUGGCGGAAUUCCCCAAGUAGAGGUGAAAUUCGUAGAUAUGGGGAGGAACACCGGUGGCGAAGGCGGCCAUCUGGACGGAUACUGACGCUGUGACGCGAAAGCGUGGGGAGCAAACAGG
rnacentral:rRNA from 1 species